AGUGAACGCUGGCGGCGUGCUUAACACAUGCAAGUCGAACGGGCAAGAGCCGUAGCAAUACGGAGUUCUGCUAGUGGCAGACGGGUGAGUAAUACAUAGGAAUCUGCCUUGGAGACAGGAACAACAGUUGGAAACGACUGCUAAUACCUGAUAUUGCCUAAGGGGGAAAGAUUUAUCGCUCCAAGAUGAGCCUAUGUGGGAUUAGCUAGUUGGUAAGGUAAAAGCUUACCAAGGCUACGAUCUCUAAUUGGUCUAAGAGGAUGACCAGUCACACUGGAACUGAGACACGGUCCAGACUCCUACGGGAGGCAGCAGUGGGGAAUAUUGGACAAUGGGCGAAAGCCUGAUCCAGCGACGCCGCGUGGAUGAUUAAGGCCUUCGGGUUGUAAAGUCCUUCCGGUAGGGAAGAUAAUGACGGUACCUACAAAAGAAGCUCCGGCUAACUUCGUGCCAGCCGCCGCAGUAA
rnacentral:rRNA from 1 species